UACGAACCGUCCAAACGUUUAUUCGGAAUUACUGGGCUUAAAGGGUACGUAGGCGGCGCUGUUAGUCGGGUGUGAAAGCCCACGGCUCAACCGUGGAAUUGCGCCCGAUACUGCAGUGCUUGAGGGAGACAGAGGUAAGCGGAACUGAUGGUGGAGCGGUGAAAUGCGUUGAUAUCAUCAGGAACACCGGUGGCGAAAGCGGCUUACUGGGUCUCUUCUGACGCUGAGGUACGAAAGCUAGGGUAGCGAAGGGG
rnacentral:rRNA from 1 species